GCCCUGCUGAGGAGUCCCGCAAUAGGACGAAACGGCCGUCCAGUAC
rfam:Schistosoma curassoni strain Dakar, Senegal genome assembly, scaffold: SCTD_scaffold0001160